UACAGAGGGGGCAAGCGUUGUUCGGAAUUACUGGGCGUAAAGGGCGCGUAGGCGGCCUUCUAAGUCGAACGUGAAAUCCCCGGGCUCAACCCGGGAACUGCGUCCGAUACUGGAAGGCUUGAAUCCGGGAGAGGGAUGCGGAAUUCCAGGUGUAGCGGUGAAAUGCGUAGAUAUCCGGAGGAACACCGGUGGCGAAGGCGGCAUCCUGGACCGGCAUUGACGCUGAGGCGCGAAAGCCAGGGGAGCAAACGGG
rnacentral:rRNA from 1 species